CCUANGGGGGGCUGCAGUGGGGAAUUUUGGACAAUGGGCGAAAGCCUGAUCCAGCCAUUCCGCGUGAGUGAAGAAGGCCUUCGGGUUGUAAAGCUCUUUCGGCAGGAAAGAAAUCGCAACGGACAAUACCCGUUGUGGAUGACGGUACCUGAAGAAGAAGCACCGGCUAACUACGUGCCAGCAGCCGCGGUAAUACGUAGGGUGCGAGCGUUAAUCGGAAUUACUGGGCGUAAAGCGUGCGCAGGCGGUUUUGCAAGUCAGAUGUGAAAGCCCCGGGCUCAACCUGGGAAUGGCGUUUGAAACUGCAAGGCUAGAGUGUGUCAGAGGGGGGUAGAAUUCCACGUGUAGCAGUGAAAUGCGUAGAGAUGUGGAGGAAUACCGAUGGCGAAGGCAGCCCCCUGGGAUAACACUGACGCUCAUGCACGAAAGCGUGGGGAGCAAACAGGAUUAGAUACCCCANUANUC
rnacentral:rRNA from 1 species